rnacentral:rRNA from 1 species
UACGAAGGACCCGAGCGUUAUCCGGAUUCAUUGGGUUUAAAGGGUGCGUAGGCGGAUUGAUAAGUCAGGGGUGAAAGCCCAUCGCUUAACGAUGGAACUGCCAUUGAUACUGUCGAUCUUGAGUACAUUUGAAGUGGGCGGAAUGUGUCAUGUAGCGGUGAAAUGCUUAGAUAUGACACAGAACACCGAUUGCGAAGGCAGCUCACUAAACUGUAACUGACGCUGAGGCACGAAAGCGUGGGGAUCAAACAGG